UGGAUUGUAGUGGUAUGAGGCAACACGGCUACUUAGACACAGGCUUCUGUUUCACCACGCCCUCUCCGGCCCGUUCGCCAAUCAUUGCUUGUCGAGGGGAUAAAAGUAGGCCGUGCCCUUCCUCCUGAACUCUCGCUUCCUGCCUCUUCGGCCCGUCCACUUCCGGGUCGUUGCCCUCGCCGCUCACCUCAGAGCACAGGUAGGUGCACCUCCGCAUGCUGUGUUGCGUACAUUCGUCAGCGUUUUACUAAAACUCAAACCAUUACUAUAAUAGAUCUGCCGAGAUCCUCAUCGCAAUCGGGGCAAUGUAUUGGGGUCGUUUACCGCUGCUGACCAGAGCAUAGAGCUGAAGGCCGACGGUGGUGGCGGUGGUCCUCCUGGGUGGUGGUGGUGAUCCCUUGUGUGCGUGUGCUUUGUUUUAGAUUUUAUUCGUUUGGACUUCACGUUUUUGCUUUGUGUGUGAGGUGCCCUUGUUUCUUUCGUUGGAUUUAAUUUCCCCCUGACGACCACUCUCCCAGCCGGUAAGCCUCAGCUUGUACCCACUUCCUUCCCCAGUUGGGCUAACUUCUCUUUUUCAUCUUUUGUGCCAAACCGUGUUCAUAAUAACAAAAUGCUUUGUUAUUUUUGAA